rnacentral:rRNA from 1 species
CUAGGAACGUCCCGACCAUACUCCGAGAACGUCAGAAACUAAGAUCACGGAAGCGUUUUUUACAAACUGCCACCGACUACGCGAGCAAUGUUCGCUGGUGGACGUCCGUGUUUUUUACUGUGGCUAAAGAAGUGCGACCAAGGCAGUCCAUCGACAUGAAUUAGAAAGCAUGGGAUAACAAAGCAGCAGCCUAUGAGCUACCGUUUAGGCUUUUGUUGGUUUUAAAGGUUCGUGGGAGAUUACGGGCGUGUAGGACCGGCGUUGGGGGUUUUCCAAAAUCCCCGCGUCUCCUCCUGGCAUCGGAAACGGUGCUUGCGGGGCCUGCUUCGCUCAGGAAUGAAGGAGGGUUGCUCGGGGGAAAACGUACUUGGGCGUGAGAGGUGAAAUUCUUAGACCGCCCAAAGACGAACUACAGCGAAGGCAUUUU